CACCUGGAAUGACAACCUUGAGUAGUUGACAGUCUUAGAUUUCAAGAUGCCUUUUGCUGCAUCUCCAGGAGCAAGGCAAGCCAAGAAACCUUUGCUUUUGAAGGAGAAAAUCCAGAAAUGGGAAGGAGGAAAAGAAGCCACCUGAGUCCUCCCUGAGCCACAGGCAGUCCAUGAAGUGCCUUCCUGGGAAUGGGAGGAUGGUGAGGACUCUGCAUUGCUCCCUCUGGAUGUGUGGAUGUGGCCUGCAGGAACUGCAGGAAUUGACGGUGACGCCUCGGCCGAUGGAUUGGACGCCCCAGCCCGUGCGUUCCUGCCCAGCCCUUGGGUCCCUGUCAAGUGGUGGGACUGCCAGCCCCUGCAGGGGGCUGUGGCAUGGAAACUGCAGAGAGCCGAGCCAGGGAAUUGAAAGGGACUCACCCAGGGAGGUGAAGAAAGAAGGAAGAAGGGAAGUGAGGCAGCAGCCAAGCAGCCCCAAGUUCCUCUGUCAGCAGGUGAGUUGUCUUGAGGUUCCUCAGGCAGGCCCUUGGGACUUUGGGGACUCCAGCCAGAGAAGACCGUGGAAGCCCCUUGGAGAAACCCCUCAGAAACCCUACAGGGUAGGUGUGGAUGGUAAUAAGUGCUGGGGAAUG